rnacentral:rRNA from 1 species
AUUGAACGCUGGCGGCAUGCUUUACACAUGCAAGUCGAACGGUAACAGGCCGCAAGGUGCUGACGAGUGGCGAACGGGUGAGUAAUGCAUCGGAACGUGCCCAGUCGUGGGGGAUAACUACUCGAAAGAGUAGCUAAUACCGCAUACGAUCUAUGGAUGAGAGCGGGGGACCGUAAGGCCUCGCGCGAUUGGAGCGGCCGAUGUCAGAUUAGGUAGUUGGUGGGGUAAAGGCUCACCAAGCCAACGAUCUGUAGCUGGUCUGAGAGGACGACCAGCCACACUGGGACUGAGACACGGCCCAGACUCCUACGGGAGGCAGCAGUGGGGAAUUUUGGACAAUGGGCGCAAGCCUGAUCCAGCAAUGCCGCGUGCAGGAAGAAGGCCUUCGGGUUGUAAACUGCUUUUGUACGGAACGAAACGGCUCUGGUUAAUACCCGGGGCUAAUGACGGUACCGGAAGAAUAAGCACCGGCUAACUACGUG